CGGGGGCCGACGGGAGUGGGCGGGUUCUUGCCGGGGUCCGGGCUCCCAGAGGGCUCUGGGGUGGUCCCCUGCCAGCCUGAUGCGAGGCGUGAGCUUUGAGUUGGAAGUGGGCAGCAAGGCAAGAAGGGUGAACUGUAAAGAAGAGUCUACCUUAACUUUAAGAUGUGGUACAGGUCUUCCGUGGCAGUCCGGUGGCUGAGACUCCGUGCUCUCAAGGCAGGGGCCUGGGUUCUAUCCCUGGUCCAACAGUUGGAUCCCACAUGCUGCAACUAAAGAUCAGCUAAAGAUUCCACAUGCCGCCAGGAAGAUCGAAGAUCGAAGAAAGAAAAGAAAAAAAAAAAAAACUCAAAAAGGUGUCAUUCAAUAAAUAACCUUUUGAAUGCC